rnacentral:misc_RNA from 1 species
GGAACAUGAAGAACUGAAAUGAGAUUUAUAUUGAGAGUGCCUGUAAUAGAAUCUAUACCAAAAAUUGUUGCUAAGGAACUGUCCGCUAUAUGAAAUUUUCUUUUCUUGAGCAUGAAAAAUAGGUAGAGAAUUUAUGAAGUGCUUGCCAUAUGUUUGUUUGUUCCAGAAUCUAUAACCCAACAAGAUUUGUCAAUAUUGACAAGAAAAACAUUACUUGAUUUUACAAAAUUGAAAGAUCCAAUGGUGGAAGAUUGAAAUUAAAGCCGAGACUAACGCUUUAGCGAUUGAACUUAUUU